UACAGAGGUCUCAAGCGUUGUUCGGAUUCAUUGGGCGUAAAGCGCGUGUAGGCGGCUCGGUAAGUCUGCUGUGAAAGUCCAGGGCUCAACCCUUGAAUGCCGGCCGAUACUGUCAGGCUAGAGUCCGGAAGAGGCGAGUGGAAUUCCUGGUGUAGCGGUGAAAUGCGCAGAUAUCGGGAGGAACACCAGUGGCGAAGGCGGCUUCCUGGC
rnacentral:rRNA from 1 species